rnacentral:rRNA from 1 species
CCUACGGGCGGCAGCAGUGAGGAAUAUUGGUCAAUGGGCGCGAGCCUGAACCAGCCACGUAGCGUGAAGGAUGACUGCCCUACGGGUUGUAAACAUCUUUUAUAAAGGAGUAAAGUGAGGCACGUAUGCCUUUUUGUAUGUACUUUAUGAAUAAGAAUCGGCUAACUCCGGGCCAGCAGCCGCGGUAAUACGGAGGAUCCGAGCGUUAUCCGGAUUUAUUGGGGUUAAAGGGAGCGUAGAUGGGUUGUUAAGUCAGUUGUGAAAGUUUGCGGCUCAACCGUAAAAUUGCAAUUGAUACUGGCAGCCUUGAGUACAGUUGAGGUAGGCGGAAUUCGUGGUGUAGCGGUGAAAUGCUUAGAUAGCACGAAGAACUCCGAUUGCGAAGGCAGCCUACUAAACGGCCACUGACAUUGAUGCUCGAAAGUGUGGGUAUCAAACAGGAUGAGAUACCCGUGUAGUC